CACUCCACACACCAACUUGUGGGCCUCAAACUCCACAGGUAAACACAUCUGCUGUGGAGAGUUGUGGGUGUCCUGAGUGCCAAGACCAAGCCGACCUUCAGAGGAGAGGAACACAGAGCGCAAAACACAUUCAAAAGGCAAACACUUCUCUUUCAUUGGUGACAGCAAGCACAUGGGAGGCGCCACAUGCCACCUGAAUCAGCUCAUAGCCGAGGAGUGCCUCCACUAUCUUGGGCUGAGUUGAAAAACAGAG